ACGUAGGGGGCAAGCGUUGUCCGGAAUGAUUGGGCGUAAAGGGCGUGUAGGCGGCGAUUUAAGUCUGGAGUGAAAGUCCUGCUUUUAAGGUGGGAAUUGCUUUGGAUACUGGAUGGCUAGAGUGCAGGAGAGGUUAGUGGAAUUCCCAGUGUAGCGGUGAAAUGCGUAGAGAUUGGGAGGAACACCAGUGGCGAAGGCGACUAACUGGACUGUAACUGACGCUGAGGCGCGAAAGUGUGGGGAGCAAACAG
rnacentral:rRNA from 1 species